GGCACAGAAUAAAGUACUUGGGAUUAAACUUCAUAAAUUACGUAAAAUAAUUGUAGAGUGAAAAUGACCUUUGUUGAUGAAAGACAUGUAAAAAUGCACAAGUCCCUGCAAAUAUAACUGUGCUCACCGAUUAGAAUUCUUCAUAUUGUCACAGCACCAUCUACACAAAGUAAACUACAAGUGCUUCCCUAACCCUGUCGUUCACUUUUAAAGAAUCAAAUCUAAGUCUGGAGUGUGAUAUAUAUGUCAGAGCACAUGCAAAUGGGGCCCUGUCUGUGCUGAUAAAACCAGCCCAUCCCAGACCCUGCAGCUGGGAGAGGAGCCCCAGCCCCAGGAGUUCCAGGUGUUCCCAUUCUGUGAUCAGGACAGAACCCAGACACCUCACCAUGGAGUUUGUGCUUGGCUGGGUGUUCCUGGUUGCUCUUUUAAAAGGUGUCCAGUGUGACGUGCAGCUGGUGGAGUCUGGGGGAGACCUGGUGCAGCCUGGGGGGUCCCUGAGACUCACCUGUGUGGCCUCUGGAUUCACCUUCAGUAGUUCCAGCAUGGGCUGGGUCCGCCAGGCUCCAGGGAAAGGGCUGCAGUGGGUCGCAUAUAUUUAGUACUGAUGAAAGUAGCAUAUACUACGCAGACUCCGUGAAGGGCCGAUUCACCAUCUCCAGAGACAACGCCAAGAACACGGUGUCUCUGCAGAUGAACAACCUCAAGACCGAGGACACGGCCACAUAUUACUGUACGA